rnacentral:lncRNA from 1 species
GAGGACUGUAUUGCAAUCUAGCGAGAUGAAUGAUUUGUGUCCCGUUCUUCCACUUCCAUGCAGCCUACCCUCAUGUCGUAACAGAGGUAGACCUAUUACAACUUGGUCUUCUACGACACUAUUGCAGAAUGGACUUCCGAACUCAAUGGCCUUUUCGGUACAGUACCCCUGUACCAUAGAUGCCUCAGGAUGACCACGAGUUGAUACAUAGCUAUUUAGUAUUGACAUGAAAUGCUUAUACGUCGUACAUUUCAUGCAAGUACAUUGUUGACGGUCCUUAAGU